rnacentral:misc_RNA from 1 species
AUCAUAAUGGUGAUUAAAAUGCUUGAAUAUUUUGGCCUUCCUGUUUGAUAAAGGCAAAUGGUUCAUUUGUAGAUGAUUGUUGAAUCUAAUAACGUUGCUUAAAUCUUGAUCUUAUGUUAAAAUGUUGAGCUUUGAGCAUGUGGCAUGCAAGCUUCAAGUAUAGAAUAGCUAUCUGGAGUAAUAUUUUGUAGUCCAAUGGUCUGCAGUAGCC